GUGGCUGGGAAGACCAAGAGCAUGGUGCCGGGAUCUGGCAAGAGGCUUUGUGUUGCAUCCUAACAUAGUGGAAGUUCAGGUGUACUUUCUUCAUUCCAGAUGCACAGAAAAGAAAUAUUUUAUUUAUCUUUUAUGACACAUUGUGAACAAUGGUGCUGGAAGAAUGAACUUAGAAUACAGGUGGUCAGGGGGCUGCAAGACGGCUGACUAGAGGCACUUGGCACUGGGCACUCACCUGCUUCACAAACAAGGACCAAAACAGCAAAUAGAUAACCACAUGUUGAACAGAGCUUCUAAGAGAGAACACUAGCAUACAGCAAGAAAGUGACAGGGAACCCCUGAGGUACAGAAGGAGAGGAAAGCAAGGCAGCCAUACUGGCCAGGAUUGACUUGGAGCCAGGAGAAAUUCUCCAUUAUGAGGAAAAUGUAAGUGAGAGAUUCUCAGUGGUCUACAUUCCCAUCAUGCACUCCUGCAAUUCUAGCCACUUGAUAAGCC
rnacentral:lncRNA from 10 species